GACGAACGCUGGCGGCGUGCCUAAUACAUGCAAGUAGAACGCACAGUUUAUACCGUAGCUUGCUACACCAUAAACUGUGAGUUGCGAACGGGUGAGUAACGCGUAGGUAACCUGCCUGGUAGCGGGGGAUAACUAUUGGAAACGAUAGCUAAUACCGCAUAAUAUUAAUUAUUGCAUGAUAAUUGAUUGAAAGAUGCAAUUGCAUCACUACCAGAUGGACCUGCGUUGUAUUAGCUAGUAGGUGAGGUAACGGCUCACCUAGGCGACGAUACAUAGCCGACCUGAGAGGGUGAUCGGCCACACUGGGACUGAGACACGGCCCAGACUCCUACGGGAGGCAGCAGUAGGGAAUCUUCGGCAAUGGACGAAAGUCUGACCGAGCAACGCCGCGGGAGUGAAGAAGGUUUUCGGAUCGUAAAGCUCUGUUGUAAGAGAAGAACGGGUGUGAGAGUGGAAAGUUCACACUGUGACGGUAGCUUACCAGAAAGGGACGGCUAACUACGUG
rnacentral:rRNA from 1 species